GUUCUUGAGGUGUAAGUAGCACAUUAGGUUUUCAUCCUGAAGGUAUAGAAAUAAGUUUAUCUAGAACA
rnacentral:tRNA from 1 species